rnacentral:rRNA from 1 species
CCUGUUUAUCAAAAACAUAGCCUGAAGAUUUAUUUCAGGUAAAUUCUGCCCAGCGUAAAAAUUAGCGGCCGCAGUACCUUGACUGUGCUAAGGUAGCAUAAUCAAUUGGCUUUUAAUUGAAGUCUGGAAUGAACGGAUUAAUGAGGGCUUGCUGUCUCUUAAUAAUUAUUUUGAAAUUAUUUAUUAAGUGAAAAUACUUAUUUUUAGAAAAAAGACGAGAAGACCCUUAGAAUUUUUAAUAAAAUAUACAAUUUAUAUUAUUUUUUUGUUGGGGCGACAUUGAAACAAUUAAACUUUCUAUAUUUCAUGACAUUAAGAUUUGAAAGAAUAAAUUACCUUAGGGAUAACAGCAUAAUUAAUUAUUUAGUUUGUGACCUCGAUGUUGGACUAGGAACUAGUUGACUAACAGUCAAAAUAGAUUGUUCUGUUCGAACAGAAAUUCCUACGUGAUCUGAGUUCAGACC